GCUUUUGAAGAUCAGCGGCGGACGGGUGAGUAACACGUGGGCAACCUGCCUGUAAGACUGGGAUAACUUCGGGAAACCGGAGCUAAUACCGGAUAAUCCUUUCCCUCACAUGAGGGAAAGCUGAAAGACGGUUUCGGCUGUCACUUACAGAUGGGCCCGCGGCGCAUUAGCUAGUUGGUGAGGUAACGGCUCACCAAGGCAACGAUGCGUAGCCGACCUGAGAGGGUGAUCGGCCACACUGGGACUGAGACACGGCCCAGACUCCUACGGGAGGCAGCAGUAGGGAAUCUUCCGCAAUGGACGAAAGUCUGACGGAGCAACGCCGCGUGAGCGAUGAAGGCCUUCGGGUCGUAAAGCUCUGUUGUCAGGGAAGAACAAGUACCGGAGUAACUGCCGGUACCUUGACGGUACCUGACCAGAAAGCCACGGCUAACUACGUGCCAGCAGCCGCGGUAAUACGUAGGUGGCAAGCGUUGUCCGGAAUUAUUGGGCGUAAAGCGCGCGCAGGCGGUUCCUUAAGUCUGAUGUGAAAGCCCCCGGCUCAACCGGGGAGGGUCAUUGGAAACUGGGGAACUUGAGUGCAGAAGAGGAGAGCGGAAUUCCACGUGUAGCGGUGAAAUGCGUAGAGAUGUGGAGGAACACCAGUGGCGAAGGCGGCUCUCUGGUCUGUAACUGACGCUGAGGCGCGAAAGCGUGGGGAGCGAACAGGAUUAGAUACCCUGGUAGUCCACGCCGUAAACGAUGAGUGCUAAGUGUUAGAGGGUUUCCGCCCUUUAGUGCUGCAGCAAACGCAUUAAGCACUCCGCCUGGGGAGUACGGCCGCAAGGCUGAAACUCAAAGGAAUUGACGGGGGCCCGCACAAGCGGUGGAGCAUGUGGUUUAAUUCGAAGCAACGCGAAGAACCUUACCAGGUCUUGACAUCCUCUGACAACCCUAGAGAUAGGGCUUUCCCCUUCGGGGGACAGAGUGACAGGUGGUGCAUGGUUGUCGUCAGCUCGUGUCGUGAGAUGUUGGGUUAAGUCCCGCAACGAGCGCAACCCUUGAUCUUAGUUGCCAGCAUUAAGUUGGGCACUCUAAGGUGACUGCCGGUGACAAACCGGAGGAAGGUGGGGAUGACGUCAAAUCAUCAUGCCCCUUAUGACCUGGGCUACACACGUGCUACAAUGGAUGGAACAAAGGGCAGCGAAGCCGCGAGGUGAAGCCAAUCCCAUAAAACCAUUCUCAGUUCGGAUUGCAGGCUGCAACUCGCCUGCAUGAAGCCGGAAUCGCUAGUAAUCGCGGAUCAGCAUGCCGCGGUGAAUACGUUCCCGGNCCUUGUACACAC
rnacentral:rRNA from 1 species